CUAGCCCACAAACAUCAUUGUUACCUUUUUAUUUGGGUCGCUGCCUGCGGCUGCUGGGAGAACUCUGGGGCUGUCCCAGCAUUAGGGUUGCUGCCUAGUGCUGCUGUUGGGGAAAACUGGUGUGCUAGAGGUGCUGUUUAGGGUGAGCUUACAGUUGGGGUAAGGGCUGCUGCAACUGUACCCUAACCCUACCUGGUAUCCUGUGUCCUGUCCUUUGUACCCCUAACCCUCAGUGUCAGCUCUCCCCCUGUCAAGCCCUCCCCUCUUUGCCCCUCAGCCCACAAUGUCUGUGUGUCACCCCAAGCCCCCCGACACUGUCCCUUGGCCCCCUAAAUUCCACCGUGCACUCUCCACCCGGGUAGGGGUAGUUUUUAGGGUGAGGUUAGGGGUGAUGUGAGGGCUGGUUCACCUGUCACCCUCAGGCACCUGCUCCCCCUCAGCCUCUUCUUGUCACCCUCAAGUUCCCUAGAGUAGCCUCUCAGCUUCUCUGUGACACCCUGGAGCCCUCCAGUUGCUCCUAAAGACCCCUUCUGCCUCUCAGCUGCCCCCAUCCUCUGUGUCACCCUCCACCCCCCUCCCCUCAGCCCCUUGUGACACCCUGCAGCCCAGCGACCUUGUCCCUGCCUGUCUUCUUUGGGUGCUGUCCUGCUGCGGGAGCUGCACCGUCCUCCGAGGGCUCAGGUUCCCACGUGCUGCUGGACGGGACUCGCACGUGGGCGGUGAGUGCAGUAAUGGAGGGAGCACAGCGUGGUGGGGAGGGGUUAAGGGCGGAGUGAAGGAUGGAGCGAGGGCGGGCUGGGAAACAGAGUAGGGGUUAGUGGCGGAGGAGGGGACACAGCAGUAGGGGGCUGAGGGGAGGAGGUAAGGGUUGGGAGGAAGCACCCCAUAACUCCGAGACCAAAUCUGCAGACAGUGAGAACUCUGAGUGACCUGGGAGCGCCACACGCCUUCGGCCAACUGAUGCCUGCAGAGAGAACAAAGGAAGUUCAAGGCUACUUAGAAAGGAAUGCAAGCAUCCAAGCCGAAGAGGAGGCCCCCACCGCAGGAAAAAGUGAAUCUGGGUUACAACUGAGUGCACGGCCUCAUCCCUGUGCUUGCCAUCCACCUGCCAGCGCCAGAGUGAAUUUGUCUCCAUCCCUGGAAGUGCCAUCACAGACCCAGCUCCAGCUCUGGUGUUCUGCGGCUUCUAAGGGCAGCAUCUUGGUCUGGGCCCCAGCUGUGCAACACUUCAGAUCCCGCCCAAGGGGCUGUAAGCCAACCCCACCAUCAAUAUCGCAGCCCCACAGCGAUUUCAGCUGCCACCCAGCAAUCCCUAGCCACUAUGCCAGUCCCUGCCUCAUUUCAACCGGAUGCCCACAGCCUUGUUCUCAGCUCUGCAUUUCCGUUUCCUUUUUCAUGCACAACCCCAGCCUUGCCAUCCACUUGCCCACCCCACAGUGAUUUUGUCUCCAUCCCUGGAAGUGCCAUCACAGACUCAGGGAAUAUCCCAGCAUUGCCAUAAUUUUCUGGUGCUAUAUUUCAGCCCCGGUUUCCACCGCACACAUUCUGUUCUAGUUUCAGUCACAAUACUCAGCCGUAGCACUUACCACAGACGUACACUGAGUUCAGGGCACAAAUCCUAUAGUGUCCAUGUCAACCAUACAGUUUCCAUACCUGGCCCACAGGCCCUCUUUCCCAUCCCUGGUGAUUUCAGCUCUUGACCCACAAGCUUUAUUUCUCUGUUCUUGGAGCUCCCGCUGUUCAAUUCUCCAGCUGUGUCAGGUGAAACUACUCCCCGCUCAGACAUGAGGGCCUUGGCUUUGGCUCCAAUUUUGAGGCUUCAGGUCCAAGUCUAGAAACACCAUUCUCACCCCAUUCCAGCAGUCAUUAUUCCACCUCCAGCUCGUCAUUUUGUGUCCCAUUCUAUGGUUACUCUCUAGACCUGCCGUAAGUAUCCCUUUGAACAGUGAGUGAUGCUGCAGCACUGCAGUCCCUACCGUGGCCCCAGUGAUUUCAGCUCCAGUCCCACAAGCUUUAUUUCACUGCCAGCUCUUGUUUCACUUCCUGUUCAACAUCUUCCCAGCAGUGCCACACAAUGCUACUUCUGCUUCUCAGGGCAGGCUCUUUGUUUUAACGCUAGCUCUCUGUGUGGUUUCAGCUCAGCUCUUGAACCUAUGUUCUUGAGCCCCAACACUACAACCCCUCCUGCAGCAAUAACUCUGUAGUCCCUAUGGUAGCCCUUACAGCAAUUUCAGCUGUGACCAUUCAGUUCACACCCCAGCACCACAUUCCCUAUCCCAGCCCCACAGGGGUUGUACCCCAAACCCUACCAUAUUUCUGUCUCCUCCAGCUCUUCUGCCUCAGCUCCAGCUCCUCAGCUUCCUACUGCCUGCUGCUAAAAGCUGCUUCUGCUUGUCACUGCAGUUUGGGGCUGUUCAUAAGGCCACAAAUCAGUUAGUGUCGUCAUUUCAAUGUCUCCAGUAGCUGUCCCACCCACCCUCAUGGGAUCCCGACUUUGGGGACACUUGAGGCCUGAAGGCCAACAUCUACCCUCCCCCUCCCACUGUGUCUCAGCCCAGCACCUGCCCAGAGACGCCCCUCACCUCCCUCAGGCAGCCCCAGGGGCUAGGAAUAGCCGCCAGGCCCCUGGUCCCCCAUCCCAAAAGGUGCCCUUGGGCUGGCUCUUGGGCCCUGGAACCCUCUGAGCCCCCACACCCCCAGCCUCUGCUUGGUACCACAGGGCAGGGGCUGGGAUACUCUGGGCACGUCCUGCAGGCCCUGCGCUGCAGCUCUGUGCCCUUCUCCCACGGCAUUUAUCCAGCCCCAGGAUUUCCACCACUCUGUAUUGUUUUGGGCCUGGCUCGUGCCAAAGUCCUUUUUCCGCACCCUGGGGCUUGAUUUCUCUACUGAUCUCACAACUGGUGUUUCAGCCCCAGUCCCACAACCCUUACUGAACUAACAUCAGAUACCUAGUAAACAAAACCAAACCAAACAAAAUGUAA